rnacentral:lncRNA from 1 species
UCUAGUAUAAAACUAAAAACAUCUUCUUUGUCAAUGAGAAAAUCCAGAUGAACACAUUCAGCUUGUUUGAAGUUUUAAGUUAAAAUAAAGGCCAGUCAGCUUAUUCAUCUUUUGCAGCCAAGUGUUGAUAGAGGCUCAUAAAGCCUUUUUAAUUCCAUCGUAAAGACAUCUUUAAUAGUGACAGAGGCUGUUUUGAUGUGGAGAUUGUGAGCACACACGAUAAAUGGUUCGAGUGUCUCCCUGGCCCAGUUUCAGUGUGAACAGUUAAGUGUUCAAGUGUCUCCCUGGCCCAGUUCAGUGUGAACAGUUAGAUGGUUCAGAGUGUCUCCCUGGCCCAGUUCAGUGUGAACAGUUAGAUGUUCAGAGUUUCCUCCCUGGCCAGUUCAGUGUGAACAGUUAGAUGGUUUCAAGUGUCCCCUGGCCCAGUUCAGUGUGAACAGUUAGAUGGUUCAGAGUGUCUCCCUGGCCCAGUUCAUUGUGAACAGUUAGAUGGUUCAGAUGUCUCCCUGGCCCGUUCAGUGUGAACAGUUAGAUGGUUCAGAGUGUCUCCCUGGCCCAGUUCAGUUAGAUGGUUCAGAGUGUCUCCUCUGGCCAGUUCAGUUAGAUGGUUUCAGAUGUCUCUCCCUGCCCAGUUCCAUUUAUAUGGUUCAGAGUGUCUCCCUGGCCCAAGUUCAGUUUAGAUGUGGCAGAUGUCUCCCUGGCCCAUUCAAGUGUGGACAGGUAGGAUGGUUCAGAGUGUAUCCCGGGCCCAGUUCAGUUAGAUGGGUCAGAGUGGUCGCUCCUGGGCCCAGUUCAGUUAGAUGGUUUCGAGGGUCUCGCUCCCUGGCCCAGUUCACGGGGAACAGUUAGAUGUUUAUCCUGUAACACACAGCGUUUACAGACAGAUUCAACCCAUUCCUUUGAAAGAGGUGGAAGACUAUAGAAAUGGCUCUGAUAAGCUUACAUUGUUAUUUUGAGCCAAAGCCCUGGGCUACUAUCAAAGACACUGGUUGCAUCACGUCCAAUGUAAUAAAAUAUGCCAACUGAAAGCCUUUUUCAGAGAGGUAUUUUGUUCUGCAGUGUAGCUGGUUUUAGAAAGUGGCUAUCGGAGGGUCUAAUUAGCUACCACCCGCGCGCCCACCCCUAAACUAUAAUCAAAGGGGGAGGGGCUACGACAUAAAUGGCUUACUGUGUGUGUGAGAGAGAGAAAGGGCUUCUGGGGGCUGUAGUUUCCCUAGACAUCACAACACCACUAUACUGUUAAGUAGCAGUAGUUUACGUCAUGAUGCAGAGUCUCACAACAAGUAUGGCUACAGUUGGCUUCUGGGCUGAGAGGCUUUAACAAGCAGCCCUGUGUUCCUAAGCAGUUGGCUUCUGGGCUGAGAGGCUUUAACAAGCAGCCCUGUGUUCCUAAGG